UGAGAAGGGGCUUUUAUUCCGUAAUCUUGA
rnacentral:piRNA from 1 species